CCUACGGGAGGCAGCAGUGAGGAAUAUUGGUCAAUGGCCGCAGGGCUGAACCAGCCAAGUCGCGUGAGGGAUGACGGUCCUAUGGAUUGUAAACCUCUUUUGUCAGGGAGCAAAGGGCGCCACGUGUGGCGCUUUGCGAGUACCUGAAGAAAAAGCAUCGGCUAACUCCGUGCCAGCAGCCGCGGUAAUACGGAGGAUGCGAGCGUUAUCCGGAUUUAUUGGGUUUAAAGGGUGCGCAGGCGGAAUGUCAAGUCAGCGGUAAAAUUUCGGGGCUCAACCCCGUAGUGCCGUUGAAACUGGCGUUCUUGAGUGAGCGAGAAGUAUGCGGAAUGCGUGGUGUAGCGGUGAAAUGCAUAGAUAUCACGCAGAACUCCGAUUGCGAAGGCAGCAUACCGGCGCUCAACUGACGCUCAUGCACGAAAGCGUGGGUAUCGAACAGGAUUAGAUACCCCGGUAGUC
rnacentral:rRNA from 1 species